rnacentral:rRNA from 1 species
UACGGGGGGAGCAAGCGUUGUUCGGAUUUACUGGGCGUAAAGGGCGCGUAGGCGGCCAGCACAAGUCAGUUGUGAAAUCUCCGGGCUUAACUCGGAAAGGUCAACUGAUACUGUGCGGCUAGAGUGCAGAAGGGGCAACUGGAAUUCCCGGUGUAGCGGUGAAAUGCGCCGAUAUCGGGAGGAACACCGGUGGCGAAGGCGGUUCUCUGGGCCUUACCUGACGCUGAGGAGCGAAAGCGUGGGGAGCGAACAGG